rnacentral:rRNA from 1 species
AUUGAACGCUGGCGGCAGGCCUAACACAUGCAAGUCGAGCGAGCGGCGGACGGGGGAGUAAUGCCUAGGAAUCUGCCUGGUAGUGGCGGAUCACGUCCGGAAACGGUAGCUAAUACCGCAUACCAUCAGAUGUGCCUCGAGUGGAUUAGCUUGUUGGUGGGGUAACGGCUCACCAAGGCGACGAUCCCUAGCUGGUCCGAGAGGAUGACCAGCCACACUGGAACUGAGACACGGGCCAGACUCCUACGGGAGGCAGCAGUGGGGAAUAUUGCACAAUGGGCGCAAGCCUGAUGCAGCAAUGCCGCGGGUAUGAAGAAGGCCUUCGGGUUGUAAAGUACUUUCAGCGGGGAGGCGUUACCCGCAGAAGAAGCACCGGCUAACUCCGUGCCAGCCGCCGCGGUAAUAC